GUAGAAUGGGGGGACAGCAUAGUUCAGGGUGCAGCUUGAGGUGGGGUAUCAGGUUGUGAGGAGAAGGGGACUCAUGGUGUGGGAAUAGCAUGGUAUAAAACUAUUUCUACAGUCGAGCAAGACUACCAACCCCACUAUUUUUUUACUGACAGUCUGCAACAUUUUUACUGAACACUAAACUUUUUUACUAUGUUUGAUAUUAAACCCCUUGUAACAGGGAACCCUAGCCCUGCUAUCAGGAAGCAGGGUGGCUCCUUUAAAUCCAGAACCUUCCAGGUGCAGCUUUCCAGCCAAACAGGAGUUGAGGAUCGAGCCCUGCCACCUGGUCAGGUGACAGGAAGAGGAAGGCCAGAACCAUAUAAACCUCAAGUGGAGAAGGCCAAGGGGGCAGCGAAGAGGGAGACUCCCGAUGACUACGGAGCAGUUGCGGCAGCCUUCUUGGGAAGAAUGUGCCAUGCUGUGAGACAGAAGCACAAGCCCAUAGUUCCAGGUUACACUUGUUUCUGUGAAGUCAAUGAAAUAUGUGGAUUUGCUAUUAACUUCAAGAAAACCAAGAAAACUCCAAACCAACUGGCUUCUCCCUCACUUAUUAGAGGGCAAUCCUUUGCGAAUGUUGAGAAUUUCCCCUCCCUGGGUAGCUAACUUCCUCAAAAAUUAAACAAAGACAGUGAUAUUCACCAGGUAAAAACGGCUAAUGCUGCCUUUGGACAGCUCCAAAACCAUGUCUUUCCUGAUUGUGACAUCAAGACUUAAAUCAACUUCUCAUAUUCCAGGCAGUUGUAUGGAUGUGAAACUUGUGCAACUUAUGGAAAACACCUCAAAGCUUUGCAAUGUUAUCAUUAGUAAUGUUUUCAGAAAAUCAUUUAUAUCAGUUGGAAGGAUAGAAAAUGAAUGCCAGCAUUCUGGUUCAAGCAAAGACCACCAGCUUUGAAGCCAUAUUUAUAUGGUGCCAGUUCCAUUGGACAGGACAUAUAGUAAGGAUGUCUGAUACCUGGCUCCUGAAACAGGCUCUAUAUUUCCAACUACUGAUAGUCACUGAUCUAGAGGUGGGAGAAGAAGAGAUUCAAGGACACUUUGAAGGCCAGUUUGAAGAAAUUCAAUAUUAACAUCAAUACUUGAGAGACUCAAGCACUGAAUCAUCCCUAGUGGUGGUGUUGUAUGGCAAAGCAUCAAUCAUUUUGAGAAAAUUCACCUCACUAUGGGGGUGGCUAGAUGACAGAAAAAAAGAGAGAGAGCUGUGACCCAACAUCAUCAGGAUAUACUUUGUCCUCCCAGAACUAUUUGCAAUGUCUACAGUCAAAUAUAUAGAUCAUGGAUUGGCCUCCUCAGUUGCAUACAGACUCACUGAUGACCAGAGAUGCUAGAUUUUCAGUAUAAAACCAAAGUUCUUUGUGCCCUGGAGAUGUUGGUCUUCAAGACUGCAAUAGCUGUAAUGCAGGACAUGCCAUGCAGUCUUCCAUCAGUGGUUGGAACCCAUUUAGAGGACCAGAGGUCAGGCAUUCUACAGAUAAAUAACAACCUCAGAAGGGAAGUGCAUUGAUAGACACAACUUCCGCUGUGAAUGCCUUGUGGAUCACAAGAAUAAAAGAUACAAAUGUUUUGGCCAGCUGUAUCUCUUGACAAUAUUUCUGAAAUAAAUUGUGUGCAUGGCCGUCACAUUUCAGGGAAGAGGAGAAGAGAUCUUCUAUGGUUCAGUAGAAUAAUGACAGAAUACGGUUCUGCUCCCACUGGAAUCAACAACAAAAUUCUCAUUGGCUUUACUGAGGUAGGAGCAACUACGUAGAGUUUCUGAGGAAAAUCAUUCCAGAUUAAAGAUUUCAGAACUAGCCCCCAAAGCCUUGGAUCUGCAAUGAGGGUCAGACCUAAGUUUAUACUGACAUAAUCUGCAUAAUAAGUCUAAUACGGUUCACAGAUCCAGUCUUGCAACAUUAAAACCUGCUCCAUUUCCUUAAUUAGUUCUCUUAGAACUCCCAACAGUCAAAGAUAUUUUUUGAACAUCUUGGGAAAGGCUUUGAAUUGUUUUAGUGAUGCAUCAGUAGUAAUUAUAAACUUCAGUUUUAAUUAGGAAACAAAAUACAACAUAUUAAGUGGGGGGAAAUGCUUAAGAAGUGUUUUUAACUGCUGCAUCAUUUUGAAAAUGUAUUAAUAUGAAACAUGAAGAAAGCUUGUUAUUAUAUGUGGUUCCUAUAUAUAUCCUGGCCUCUGAGGAACUCAUUCAGUCAGUGCUUGUCCACAUUUGUGGAGAUACUACUUUGUGUUAGGAAGGAAUUUACUCUUGUAGGCUGCCAUAGAAAGCUAGUUUCUGAGUAGCCGUUCUCUUUUCUCUAUUAGUGACAGCUGAAAUACAGCUGAAAGCAUGGUAUGUAAAAAUAUAAGUCAACCCAUUCUAGGAAAUUACAUUGGUGAAUCAUUCAUAUAUAUUUAAGGUUACUUCCACCUUGGCAUGGGUUUGAUUCCACCAUGAUCAACACUACAAAUAGGUCGAAAUUAAGUCAAACCAAGGGAAAACAAUAGACAGGACAUAAUUUUGCCUUUUUUUCAGCAACCAACAGUACAACAACAAUAUAAUUCUUGAAAAAGAAAUUCAAUAAACUUGUACAUGACACACCUUUCCCUGAGCUUUGUGUCCCAUUGUCCUAUUUCAUCAAUGUUUGGGCUGCAGUCUUACUGACCUGGAACGGAACAAAGAUGUAGAAAUGACAUUCACACCAUUUAAUUGGUAUCAUUAACAGUUUUUUCACCCCAUAAGGGAAGCAAUAACAGCUCUUCAAGAGCACACUUCUCCUGGGAAUAAAGAAACCAACCUCUAAUUGAGUUUACGGAGCUGUUGUUGUUUUUUUUUAGAAAAGACAGGUUAGAAUUCAAGGCACUGGCUAUAACCAUCAAAUUUUGAAUGAAGAAAUAGACAGGCUCUUCCUUUGAGGGGCCCUAAGCAGUAUUAGGUUGCACAUCAGCCUAAAGAUGGGACUUGUCAGAAAAGUCAAAAUUCAUGUUAAAACAAUGUUGUGGUGAAUACCGACAUGAACUGAAUUCUUCUGGGGGUUGUCCACAGUAUGAGGCCUAUCAAGCACCUAAGGAAAGCCCUUCGGAUGACUGAUGGCCCAGGGUAAAAAUACUAGGUGUUUGAAAAAGCACUUCUAUCUGAACUGACCCAUGCAAAUUCAAAACUGUCUGUUUUUAUAAUUCCAAUGCACAUUGUAUUGAAGCAUCAAAUAAUAAGCAAAGGGUAUCAGCUGCUAUUAACUUUUGCAAUUAUUUUGAAUAUGAAUGUUUUAAUGAUCUGAGGCUUUCAUUAUGAUGUGCAUACUGAUUUAAAGCUGACAUUUCAGCCAGAGAUGUGCCAAAUAAACUGGAACUCAUGUGAUGUAGCAGAAUUCUUUUCUCUAUAAAGGUCAUUAUUUUAUCUGCUAGAUAAAGACUCUGCUGGAUUUGUUUGUGAAAAUAAUAAUGCAUUGGAAAGCAUGUUGAGAUCCCUUACUGAAGUUUUUUUUAUAGAAUUACAGCCAAUAAUCAGGUAAACCUCACAAAUCCCUAUGUGGUAUGCAUUUUUAAAGUAUUAUAUGGAUAGGGAAAUUGAGAUUCAGAGAAAUUGUAUGAUUAUGCAAGUUUAGUGCUAUUAGAAGUCUUAACUCUAAUCAUAUAUUUUAACAAUUAGAUUAGCUUUCUUUUUCUUCAAAGGAAAUUAAAAUGUCUAUACUGGGUGAUAUUCACGUGCAACAUCCUACUGCUAUUUGCUUUGUAUCAUUUUAAAGGACGCAGUCUAUUCUAUGGUCAAAACUAUUCCGAUGUCUUAAAUUGCUUCUCUCCCAGGCCAUUUUAGAAGGGCAUGUCUACGCUGCACAAUGAAGUGCAAUGCAGAGAUACCCAAGUUAACUCAGUGAUCUACUUCUGUGCUGUAACAGCUAGACUGCUCCUGGGACCUGAAGUUUAGGUAUCUGUACACUACAUGGAGUUUAAAGGGUAGACAUACCCAAGUCAGGAGGCAACAACUUAGGGCACUUUGACAUGUUCCAAGGGUGGUGGUGGGAGGGUACACUUUAAUUAGGGAGACUCUGAGAGCUGUUUUAAUUAAAACGCCACAGCACCUCGUGUAUCAGUGUCCCCAUGCUUCAAAAUGAUGGUAAGGGCACUUGAACCAAAGAUCAUUCAAUAAGCCCCUGUUCAAGUGCCCCUGCUGCCAUUUUGAAGUAUGGGGACACUGAUACAUGAGAUGCGGGAGGCUGCUGGAGUGCAGUAGUUACCAUGCUCCAGAAGACUCGACUAAUUGAGUCAGUGCAUUGGGAAAGCCUCUGUGCUCAUCUAUAGGCACUUUUACAGCCCACAGGCCACAUCUGUUCUUGCAGAACCAUUGGAUCUGGCCUACAGGUAUGGGACUUCAGUGGCAUUUGGUGGCAGGGGGCUUCAGCUGUGAGGACUGUUCCCAUGCUGCUCUGGGGACAAGGGCCAGCUGUGAGCACCCUUCCUAUGCUGCAGUAGAAAUGAGCGGCAGCAAUGGCUAGGUCCAAGUCCGUUCCCUACCUCUGUAACAUAACACCCCGGUUUCUUUUUUUUUUUCUCUUUUAUAUAUAGAUAUAGAUAUAGAUAUGUAUUCCCUCCUCUCCCCACCUAUUUCUGACUUUUCCUCUCCCUCUCUAUUCCCUGUAGAUAAUUAUAAAUAAGCUAAGUUAUAGGAUAAGCUUUAAUAAGCUUUAUUUUGGGUAUUAAGUUUUAUUUUUUUCUCCCCUCUUUGCAAAUAACUGCCCUGCUAUUUUGAUAUAGAUACCCACUGUUUUAUAAGUGAUAAUGAUUAUGUUUGUACUGCUUUUAUAUUAUAUUACUGUUUUAGGCCUAUAUAUGUAAGUUAGCGUAAGUCAUGUCAAGUCUCCAUUUUGUAAUGUCAAGCCUCCAUCUUAUCCCCAUGCCUGGUUGUGUAACCCAUGACUCACACUACCCCUCCUAUGCAACUUGGUUCCUGAAUGAAUAAAAAUAGCUCCCUCUGACUGACCCAAACCAUCAACACCAAUACUUGGACCAAUGACCCAGCCAUUGGAACCACUCUCAGCACUCAAGAAAGAAAAGAUGAGGCAACCCACCAUUUUGCCAAGGCUGCAGAUGCUCAGUAAGAACACCUGGAGCCCUCUGGGACAGGACUGACCUUGCCUGGACAGGCCCUCCCCAUAGGAGAUCAGAGGUAGUCUGCCCCAUAAAAAGGGGUAGUGAAGACUAACUCAUUGGGAACAUCAUUUCCAUCUGGACCAGAGCAGUUCCAUGUCACACUGCCUAUCCACCCCAGAGGCCCUGCUGGCGCCCCACUCUGGACAACAUCAAGCUGAAGGAGACCCCAACUGGCCAUCAAGGACCCACUUUCAGCCUGGGAUAGGUAGAUAUCACCUGCAUAUUUAUUCCUCCAAUUUGGACUCUGUCUUUCUCCUCCCAGACUUCAGUCCCUGCACUAAGCCUCUUUAACCCCUGCUGCCAUUGUGUGUGUGUGUGUGUGUGUGUGUGUGUGUGUGUGUGUAUGUAUGUGCGCGCGCUCAAAGGAAACAAUAAAAUAUUGUGUCACCAUCUCUCCUGUUCAAUAAAACCACUGUCAUUUGUAA